GGAGAAAUAAAUAUGGCGCGGUGGAGUUCGAAAUCGAGAGUAGGCCUAUUGUUGAUGAGGCAAGCAGUCAGAGCAGUCCAGAACUAGAGGGUAAAGAGCUCCCUGAGCAUACUAUCUUGUGAUGUCGGCCUCAUUAGAAAAAAAGCCCUGUAUAAAGGUUUAGUAGAGUUGGCAGUGAUACCUAGCACUUCUAGGUCCAGUAGUACAAGGCUUGGAAGAGGUGUGACAUCAGGAGGAUUGACUCAAGAACAUGAAAGGAGAAUUCAGUAACUCACAGAAGAGAGCAUACAUGAUGGUGUUUCCAAGAAAAUGAUGGUGUUGCCAAGGAAAGUGCUGAAUACAUUGUGACAAGUGUGAUGGAAAUCCUGGCCUUGCACUGGAUAUAAAGAUGCUUUUGCUAGAGAAUUUACCAAGCAAUGACUCAGCAUCAGUGGAGAUGGGACUGGCC